rnacentral:rRNA from 1 species
CUUCGGGGUGGACGCUCGUGGAACGAGCGGCGGACGGGUGAGUAACACGUGGGCAACCUACCUGUGAGACGGGGAUAACUCCGGGAAACCGGGGCUAAUACCGGAUAACGCAUCGAACCGCAUGGUUCGAUGAUCAAAGAUGGCUUCUAGCUAUCACUCACAGAUGGGCCCGCGGCGCAUUAGUUAGUUGGUGAGGUAACGGCUCACCAAGGCGACGAUGCGUAGCCGACCUGAGAGGGUGAUCGGCCACACUGGGACUGAGACACGGCCCAGACUCCUACGGGAGGCAGCAGUAGGGAAUCAUCCGCAAUGGACGCAAGUCUGACGGUGCAACGCCGCGUGAGCGAUGAAGGUCUUCGGAUCGUAAAGCUCUGUUGUGAGGGAAGAACAAGUGCCGUUCGAAUAGGGCGGCACCUUGACGGUACCUCACCAGAAAGCCCCGGCUAACUACGUGCCAGCAGCCGCGGUAAUACGUAGGGGGCAAGCGUUGUCCGGAAUUAUUGGGCGUAAAGCGCGCGCAGGCGGUUCCUUAAGUCUGAUGUG